ensembl:lincRNA
AUGAAUCGGCGUUGGAGGCCUGACACCGAGACACGGUUCCUAGACUUGCCGGAAGUGCGACAGGUGCGUCGGAGGCGAGGACCCUCUGGCCCGCAACUUUCUCUGCCGGCGCUCUUCCCGCAUCCCUGGCGACGCCAGAGCAUCCUGCAGCAGCUUUCCGAGCUGCCAGUACCUAGUGAGAUGAUGAAUGGAGUAAAAUUUCAGAUGGUGCUGGUGAGGAUUAAAGGUGACCUUGAAAAUCUGAAAGCGUGUUGGAAAUUUGUGCGUGUGUCGACAGCUACCCAGAAAGCGGCUGGGCAGUGUGGAGAGCUCACAGGACUUGAAAUCCACCUAACCUUUGCUUUCUGUAGGUUUAGUGAAAAUAAUACCAUCCUUAAAUAGUUGUUUUGUAGAUUAAUUUUUUAAAGCUCAAUAAAAGAUUUCAAUAACUCCUGGUUUGUUCCUUUAGUUGAGAACGGGCACAUUAUUCCAAUUUUUCAUUUUCUAAUUUGAUUUUUAUGCAGUGAGUUCAGACUUAAAGAAAGAUUUUCUGAGUCCUCUGUGUGAUAUGUAAUUCGUGGGCUGCUUUCUCCAUGAGCUCUGUUAGGUAAGGGGAUUAUUUUUUCUCUUUUGGCAGCACUAGGGAUUGAAUCCAGGACCUUAAACAUGCUAGAUGAGCUCCAUAGUGCAGAAGUAUAGCCUCAGCUCCUCACCAACUCUGUAAGAUGGUAUUGCUGUUUCUUUUCAUAUAGAAGCUAAGAUCAAAAGAACAUAAGAAAUCAAUACAAAGUCACACAGUUAGUGUUAGAACCAGAGUCAAACCCAGGUCAAAGUAACUUGGAAGUUUCUGCUCUUUGUACAGUAUAGACUUCUGUUUUAUUAUUAUAUCCAUUUUUUGCUCACCCAGCAGCUACUUUCAAGGAAAAGCUUUCCAGUCUACGAUAAUUACUGAUAAUAAAUUUCCAUCAUCACUUAUUGCCAUUUUUCUCUAGGCAAUUAUGUUCACUGCUCAGAAGCAUCCAAAGGUGUGUUUUGAAGGGUGAUUUAAUAGCUGCUCAAGGUCAGGAUGAAUAUACAGGUUUUAUCUCUGGAUUUUCAAGCCCUGAGGUAUUGGAAGAGCUUGUGAUGAUGAAAGUGGAGGCAGAAUGCCAGCUCCAAAAGCAGGAAUCCAGGCUGAAAUGUAGUAAUCCCCUAGCAAGGGAAAUCUUCUGAAGGCACUUUGAGCAGCUUGCUACCAGGAAACCCCAGGACCAAGGGAGGCGCUUAUUCGACUUAGGAACUUUGCCACCAGUAGCUGAAGCCACAUGUGAGCACAAAGGAGCAGAUCCUGGAGCUUCUGAUACUGAAGUAAUUCCUGUCCAUUCUGCCUGAGGAGCUGCAGGGCUGGGUAAGGGAACACUGUCCAGAGAGUGCGGGAAGAGGCUAUGAGUUUGCUGGAAGAGCUGGAGAGAGAACUUGAUGAACCACAACAUGAGGUAGGAAGGGAGGUUUGCUAGGGAAGAAUAUGUAUGUGGGACAACAAGGACCUUUGUGUCCUCUCCAUUAUAUCCCCUAGACUUUGGUAAUAAGACCCAUCUUCCUGUGCCCUUCUUUCUGGGAAGUGCUUAAAACAGUAAAUUUCUUCAGAAAUCAAAUCUUGUUUCUUUGUCCUCAGAUCAUAACUCACAAACACAGAUAAGUCCUCUCUAGAGAGAGACUGCCUGCAGAAUAGCAGUCAUCACUGAGCCUUCAUUGCCAGCCUGUGGAGCCCCAACUCCCUGCCCAGGUCUCCCAUCCUACUGGAGAGACAGGUGAGGGACAGGAUUUAUCUGAUGUUGACAUUUCUUUCCUGGCCAAGCAAAACUAAACAACCUAGAGUUGGGCAAGGGCUGGAUUGAAAGCUUCCUUACUAGGUAGCAGUAGUGCUACCCAUCUUUAUCCUCC